CUAUCAUUCUUAACCAAAAAGUUGUAGUGAAUUUUCUUUUUCCGAACUUAAUGUGCUUACUUCUUAUGUUUUCAUGCUUUACCUAACAUUAUUAUCUCUUUCCCAGUUUAUUCCUCCUUGGUUCUCAUUCAAGCACAUUUUGUUUUAUAUGAAUGCAUAUACAGCUGCUUCGAAGUUCCCCCGGCAGCAGUCCGCAUUAGCAUAGUGUAUCUUAAUUUGAACAUCCAAGUACUGUCAAGGAAACUACGACGCAGCGCCAGAGAGACUUGAGACUUAGAUGGAGCCCAAAUACUCCGUGUUGUGACCGUCCAGUGAUCCUCCAGUGUCAGAGGAUUGGAUGGCAAAACAGACACUCAAUUCGAAUGGGGUUUUUAUGAAGCAGUAACGUGAACCUGACCUGGUAGGCACAUUAAAGUUGGAAGCGGGCAAAAGGAACGACGAGAGAUUUCAACUCCGUGAAGAAAUUAUCGAUACGCAUACAGCGAGAGUGCAAAACAGUGAUCAGUGAGGGCGUGGACGUGCAGCUCACCGCUAGCUGCCGCAAGCCUUGGCGCCGCAGCAAAUCGUGCCAGCCCAGGGAGGACGCGGCGCCUAACUCCCGUCGGGCUUGGUGUGCUCGCAGGAAGGACGUGGCUUCAGUGGGACUUGGGACCGCCACACUUGAUGACCGGUGUGGUGACGCGAGGUCGAGGGGACACGGGCCGCAAACAUUGGGUGAAGGCCUACACACUCACCCACUGCAACGACUCCAAGGUGUGGUUCACCUACAAAGACGGCAACCACCUCGAUACUAAGGUGAGCGACAAGGUAAGCCAGGGAGAGCGUCUCGCACUGAUGGUAGGAACUGUGGUGGCACCUUG